AAGGUGGACUAGACAAAGUUGUAUCUAGACCCUUAUCAUAUAUGUGAUUUGCAAAUAUUUUGAUUGUGUGGGUUGUCUUUUUACUUUUUUAAUAGCGACCUUUGCAGCACAAAUUCUCAUUUUGAUGAAGUCAAAUGUAUCUAACUUUCAUUUGGCUGCUUAUGCUUUCAGUGUCAUCUAGGAACCAUAGCCUAAUCGAAGGUCAUUAGGAUUUGCACCUUUGUUUUCUUCUAAUGAUUUUAUAACAUUGGCUCUUAUUUAGGUCUCUGAUACAUCUGCUGUGAAUUUUUAUGUAUGGUACGAAGUGGGACGGGGGAGGGGUGUCCCACUUUAAUCUUUUGCACAUGGAUGUCCAGUUGUUCCAGCACCAUUUGUUGAAAAAACUAUUCUUUCCUCAUGAACUGUCGUCUUGCCUCUGUUGUUGAAAAUCAGUUGACUGUAAAUGUAUGGAUUUACUUCAGAACUGUUAAUUUUAUUCCAUUGAGCUAUAUCUAUUAUGCUAGUACCAUACAGUCUUGAUGACUGCAUCUUUGUAAUAUGUUUUGAGAUUGGAAAGUGUUCUUGGGCUGAGAAAUGUAAGAAUUUUCCAUGGUGUUUGACCUUGAGAUUAGAUCAUUCCAGUUCAUAAGUAUUUGUAUAUGUCUUAGUCAGUUUUGUAUUGCAAUAAAGGAAUACCUGAGGCUGGGUAGUUUAUUUAAAAAAAAAAAAAUAAAGCCAGGCCGCGGUGGCUGAUGCCUGUAAUCCCGCAUAUAUAUUCACAGGAUAACAUUAUAUGUGGUAUUUUAGAACCACAUUUCUAACAUUCCAUUUAUCAUGUUUUGUAUUUGCAUAGUAUUCCAUUUCGUAGUUGUACCAUAAUAUCUUUAGACAAUGCUUGUGGUCAAAUAAUUUCCCCCAAUAUUUUACUGUUACAAAAAAUGUUUCGAUGAACAUUUUGGUCUAAAGUUGAUGGAUCAAGGAAUAUAGGGGUCAUUAUAAGUUAACAAAUACAGCGUCAGAUCAUGGUACUACUCUGCUGAAAAUCCCCCUUGGCUCCCAUCUUACUCAGAGCCAAAGCUAAGGUCUUUACCAUGACCUAAAAUACCCUCAGCCAUCCGGAGUGUGCAUGUAUGCAUACACACAGACAUGUACAUGCCACUCACUCCUGCCUCUCUAGCUCAUCUUCUCCUGCUCACCCCUGACUUGUUCCCCUGAAGCUAUUCCUGGAAUACACCAGGCAAGCAAGCCCCUGUGUCAGGGCCUUGGCACUUCUUCCUUCUGCCUAUAACAAUUCCUCCAAGUAUCCACAGGCUUCCUCUUUCACUUCCUUUGUUGCGUUGGCUCAGAUAUCGCCUUAUCUGAGUGCCCUUCCUUAACUAUACAAUACAAAAUAAGUUCAUGAAUCUGCCCUCACCCCUACAUUCCCUGUUUCCUUUACCUUGUUCUAUUUUUCUAUAACAUUUACCUGACAAAUCUUAUGUUUGUUUAUUGUCACUCUUCUUCCAGAAUGUAAGCACUGUGAAGUCAAGGACUUUGUUAGUUUUGAUCACUAUUGUAUCCAUGGGUUCUAAAGCACUGCCUGGCACAUAGUUGGCACUCAGUAAGCUAAGAAAUAAUAAGACUAACAUAUUGGGAUUGUGGCAAGGAGGUAAGUAUACUCCACUUUUUCAAGGGGAUUAUAAAGGGCAUCAUUUUUAGGUGGGAGAUAUUGGACAUAGGAGUUUGUGAACCAAGAGACAGAGAAAGAUGUUACUUGGAGAUAUGGAGGUUAUAAGUAUCAGAAGAUUAGAAGUUCCGGGGAUGUUUUAAAGUAAAAUUUUUCCCAUUGCAAAAUAAUAGAUAUCUGUUGUAGGAACGUUUAGAAAUACAACUAAAGCACUUUUUGCUUUACUUGGAGUGGGUGGGACUGGAAUUGGGAGGAGGGGCCAUGGAGAGGCUGCUUUUUUUCAUUGUGCAUCUUUCUGUAAGACGUGAAUUUAUACCAUGUACACCAAUUACUUAAAUAAUAAGAGCAUGUUUGGACUUCCAGUUUCUGGUGAUGGCUGGUUAUGAAAACUUGAAGAAACAAAAUAAUGGCUUUUUUUAAGUGAAGAACUAAAAAAACAUUGAACUUCCAGGCCAGUUUUUGGAUAAAAGUCUAUAACCAGGGAGGGAAAUGGAAUACUGGAACAAAAAGCUGCCUGUGCUGAGACAGCAGUUGCUGAUACCACAAACACUUGUCUGCUGUUUCUGUGGCCUGGCUGAGCCAAGAAAACAUGUUAAAGCACAGAGCCCACGCAAGACAGUGUGCUUGCAGGAGACCCUACCAACAGGAAUCGGAUAACAAGGAGCUAAAGGUAAGGAGGAGUCAGAGCUGAACCCAGUGCCCUCUUUGUCCACAGAUCGAAACCAUUUAUUCCUUUCUAAUCUGUACGCCUUUUCUUUUCUUUUUUUCUCUUUUUAUUGUUUGCUCCUCCUUCCCUUCAUGUGUCACUUUCCACCUCUGUCCCUUCUCUCCCCUUCCCUCUCUCACUCCUCCCUUAUUACAUUGGCUAAUAUGAAUAGAUCUCACUACUAACAGCCGAGAGCCUUGCGUGUUCUUGAACUUAAAGGGAAAGCAUUCAGUCUUUUGCUAAGAGGAUUUAUUAUGACUGGAUAUUGAAUUUUGGCAAUUUUUUUCCCCAUCAAAUGAAAUCAUAUGAUUUUUCUAAUCAGCUGAUAGGAUGACUUCCUUGAUUAAUUUUUGAAUGUUGACCCAACUUUUUAUGUAUUUAUGGAUUCAAUUUGCUAAAAUGUGGUUGAAGACUUUUUAUAUGUAUGUCUGUGAAGGACAUGGUCUGUUGUUUUCUUGCAGUAUCUUUGGUUUUGGUGUCAGGGUAAUGGAGGGCUCAUUAAGAAAGUUGAGAAGUGUUCUCUCCCCUUUCAUUUUCUGAAAGAGUUUGUAUAGAAUGCUAUAAUUUCCUCUGCAAUCUGUUGUACUGCUUUAGCUGCAUCUCUCAAAUUUUGAUUUGUUGGUUGAAAAGAAGCCAUGUAGGAUUGACCCAUAAACCAGUGCAAGAAUUUUAGAGAUUUUAAAUCCUAAAAACAUUAAAUCCAAUUCUCAUACAAACUAGCACUUUGUACUAACAUUUUUACAUGAUGAUAAAGUCAAUAAGACAAUAUAGAGCUGUUUUUUAAACUAAAAUCAUUUCAAUUUGUCCAAAGGGAUAUGAUCAUAAAUGUUACAUGAACUCUUUUAAUAGAAUUCAUUCUAAUUUUGAUACAUGAUGAAACUAUGUAUUCAUAAACCAAAAUUUUAAAUCAUGUCAAAAGGUUUUAAGUUUCCUGCUUUUUGUAUCUUCCAACCUAGUAACCAAGACCAUUAUUCAAACUAACAGUUAACUUUUUUCUCCUAUAUUAGUUUUAGGAAGAAAAAUUUAAAGAACCAGUGCCAGUAAAACUUGACAAUUUUUAAAAACUCGUUUGAAUUUUAUCUGGACUGUAUGAGUAUGUAAAUAACAUCAUAAUACUUUUUUAUUAAUUCACAUGUUUUUCUAAGAGCAGGAGACAGAGAAGUAGAAGGCAGAAAAUGAGAGCCAGCUAUGGGAAGGUCAGACAGGGCAAAAGCUAACCUACCACCUGAAAAUGUUACAGUUCUGAAAAAUUGAAUCUUUUAAAUACAAUUGUGGGAUUUAUAGUAUUACCCAUGUCAAUUUGAAGAGUUUGUUUCUGUCCUACUAUUAAAGAUACUUAUCUUCUUGGGCUAAGUGGAUCGUUGGAAUUUGGAUGCUACAGUACCCGUUUGGUGACCCCUUUUAUAAUCACUCAGAGGCUUCUGGUUCUUUCUCUUCUUGACUAGAAUGGAACCAUUUUCCAGUGACUUUUUAAAUUCACAAUAUGAAGUUUUUGUAUCCUAGACCCACAAAAAGAUGAGCUGCUUGACAGAGGUCAAGAAGGUUGUGGAGUGGGUGGGCUGGGACAGGAUUCGGGAAUCCUUAGCAGUGGCACAAAGUUCUGAAAAUUUCUCUAAAAGUGAAACUGCUUUAACUGCAUCCCAAAGAUUUUUAUAUGUUGUAUUUUCAUUCCCUUCAGUGUAUUUUUACAUUUCCUUUGAGACUUUCUCUUUGACCAUUGGAGUAUUUAAAAGUGGGUUGUUUAAUUUCUAAUUGUUUUGUGAUUUUCCUGGUAUCUUUCUGUUAUUAUUGAUUUCUAGUUAGAUUCAUUAUGAACAGAUAAUAUAUUUUUUAUGAUUUCAGUCCUUUUAAAUUUGUGAAGGUUUGUUUUACAUGACCCAGGAUAGGAUGUGGUCCAUCUUGGUAUCUAUUUAUUAGUUGCCAAGGCCAUUUUUUCCAUAUGGCCACACCUAACUGCACAGAAGGCUGGGAAAUAGAUUUUAGCUGUGUGACUUAGAAGGAAAUGGGAAUCAAGUCUGGAAAUUACAUAACACUCUCUUGUUUUUGACUUUUUUAAAAUUUUCUCCCUUUAUUCCCAUUCCCAAUCCUAUAGUUAUUUAACUACAUACCCUAGUGUAUUUAAUAUAUGUCCUUCUGAUCUACCUUCUGUACAUUUUUUUUUUUUUUCUCAGUCUCAGGUAUUUUUUUAUAGCAGUGCAAAAUCGGCCUAAUAUAUUGUCUGUAUAGCAUUCUGAUGAUUAGUUCUUCACUGUGUAUUAAGAUUGACUUAUGUUGCUGCAUGUAUGGCUAAUUCAUCCCUCUGACUGCUUCAGAAAUAUUCCACUUUAUUCAUAUUUAUUCAACAUUUUACUUAUCUAUUCCCCCGUGUACUAAAAGUCAAAAGCAUUACUAAUUUAAUAAUGUCAUAUUUGUUCUUCUAAUUAUUUUUUGCUGCAUAACAAAGCACUCCUAACUUAGUGGCUUACAAUGAUAACAGUCAUUUAUUUUAUUCAAAAAUCUGCAAUUUGGGCUACAAUUGGCAGAACAGCUCAUCUUUGCUCCUUACAGUAUUGGCUGGAGUUGGCGAUGACUCAGCAGAUCAAGGCUGGAAGACUCAUUCUCGUCAGGUGGUUGACGUUGGCUGUCAGUUGGAACCUCACCUGGGGCUGUUUGCCAGAACACCUACACAUGGCAUGUCCAUGGAGCUAUUUGACUUCCUCACUGCAAUGGCUGGGUUCCAAGAGCAGUUAUCCCAAGAGAACAAGGCAGAAGUGCAUGACUUUUAGAAUCUUGUCUCACAAGUCACACAGAGUCACUUCCACCAUCCCCUGUUGGUCAAGGAGGACAUGAAGGUCUUCCUCAAACAGCACUGCUUUUCCUAAUAUAAGCACAGUUCUUGCACAUAGAUAAAACUGUCUUUAGGAUAGAGUGAAAAGAGAAUAAGAAUGUUAAAUUUAUAACUAUUAAGAUGUAUUGAAAGUUGAAUAAUGUGCAGAAAGCAAAUCGCUCUACACAGAAAGAGAGGGUGAUAGAAGGGUUCUUGGAGACAACAAGCAUGAGAAGACUUAUCUAGGGUUUGAUGAGAUUUUCAGUAAGAGCUUUAUCAUCCCCACAGGGGCAAAAUUAAUUCUUGGGAGACAAAAAGGAACUUAGUUAUUCGAUGGUUUGUGGCCUUCAGAGGGUUGCAGUUGUACAUAAACAGAAACACAGUAUAUCAGUGGUAUUAAAAUUUCAAGAUGGGAGAGAGAUUGGGGAAAAUAUCUAAAAUGUCUCCUUACAGGGGUGAUAAUGAGAAGCAAUGGACUAGAGGAUUCAAGUGGAAGAGUCUUCAUCACCCGUGAGUUCUCCUGGGAAAGUGAAUUGGAAACAAGCUAAGUGCAUUUUCUCAGCAGAAGGAAGAUCUUACACAUCACCUAGUGAAUAUCCAGUUGGGAAUCUGAAAGCAGCAGUGGGCAGGCAGGGGAAUCAGGAGCAAUGUUCAUCAGUGAAUGAAAGGAGUGCUGGAAAGAGAACCAAAUGCUGACAUCAAAGAACCUUCAAUCAUAUGAUUUUAGUGUGGAAAGCCAGAUGAUACACUCUAACAUCUGUGAAAUCAAAUCAAAAUGCAAAUUGGUUUUUGGCUUUCCUG
rnacentral:lncRNA from 1 species